rnacentral:lncRNA from 1 species
UGUCUUGCUCUGUCACCCAGGCUGGAGUGAAGUGGCAUGACCUUAGCUCACGGCAGCCUCAAAUUACUGGGCUUAAGUGAUCUCUUUCAAAUCAAGAACCUGAGACACAGAGAAUUAAGUAACUUGUCAAAAGUCCCACCGUUUGCUUUAUCUGCAGGGAGUCAUCAGUUAAAUAUGCCAGAUGAAGAGUUUGUGAUGGAGAACACUUGCUGGAUCAAAACCAAGAAUGAAAGGGAUACAGAAGAAAACCAAGUUGAUGAAGAGAAAUAUCAGAAAGCUUGUCUUCUGAAAUCUUCUGAGAAAGAUAUAAGAAAUUAUAAGCAUAAUGACUACAGCAGGAUUGUAAAACUGAGGACUGUCUUUCACAGUUUUUGGUGAGAAGCAGUCUGAAAUCACAGCUAAUGCAAGGACCCAUGCUGAGCACAACCACCUUCCUGCUGCUGAGAGUGGAUCACAGGGCUACCAGUAGAGAACUUGGUUUGUCUCACUCUGCAAAGGUUUUCUUCUUCCAAGUUUAAUGUCUCAAAUCUCAAAUCAUCUGCUAAUAGUAAUGUGGUACAUAUGUAGAGUCCUUUAUAUUUAUUAUAUUUUAAAGAUAUUUUUCUUUAUUUGCAUCCAACUUCGAAACAUAGUCACUAAUUCCAAGUCAAAGCAAUGUUAUUUUACUAAUUACAUCUUUACAUGUUAUAUCUCAUUUUUAGUAAUUCCUUAAUUUUAAUUUAUAACUUUAUGAAACUUUGCAUUUAGAUCAAUAUAUCAUUUUAAAGUAAUAUAAUUUUCCCCAUUUAUAAAAUAACUUUAUUGGCCUUGUUGUCUUCCCAGUCUCUCUUUUUAUGUAUUCUUGACAUAAAGACUUAUUGUUUUUAUUCUGAUCAAUCAAUUACUAUUUUUUUCAAUAAUGCUUCUUAUAAAGCUCAGUGACAAUAUACAUGUCAUACCUGCUCUCCUUCUCUUAAAUACAUAAAACCACAGUGCCAGAAAAGCAUUAUUCAAGUUAGUUAAAAGAUUUGGUGAAAAAUGGUAAUAACAAAUUCUAGAACUUUUUAAAAAUUCACCUCCACCCACCCUCAACCUGAAAAAUCCAAAUUUUUCUUAUAUGUUAAUAGUGUAUAGAGAAGAGAUUGACCCUGCCCCCUGCCCCACC